UACGUAGGGGGCAAGCGUUAUCCGGAUUUACUGGGUGUAAAGGGAGCGUAGACGGCAGAGCAAGUCAGAAGUGAAAGCCCGCGGCUCAACUGCGGGACUGCUUUUGAAACUGUUCAGCUGGAGUGCAGGAGAGGUAAGUGGAAUUCCUAGUGUAGCGGUGAAAUGCGUAGAUAUUAGGAGGAACACCAGUGGCGAAGGCGGCUUACUGGACUGUGACUGACGUUGAGGCUCGAAAGCGUGGGGAGCAAACAGG
rnacentral:rRNA from 1 species